rnacentral:lncRNA from 1 species
AAGUGGCUGUUAACUAUUCUGUUAAAUGGUGUAGGCAAGUAUGUGGUUAUUUUUACUAAAUACAUUUCCUCUCUUUCUCUGUAUAGUCUUAGUAAACAACUGGCAGAAUAUGCAGACUGGGAAAACACAGGAGAAGCUUCUGCAGGUGGUCCACAAGGCGUCACAGUACUUAGCACUCCUCACCGGGCAGGAGCUGCUGGCUUUACACUGGGUGCACCUGCUGUGGACAGAGGAGGAAUGCAACAAUCUCCUAACCAGACAUCAAGAACAGGAGAAACAAGGAAAGCAAUAGAUGACUUUUCCCAAGGAGACUCGAUAAGCUCUGAGAAGGAGGGGAGCGAUGACAGUUGGCAUACUUCUGAGGAAGAAGAACUUGAUUUUACGCCCAAGAAGCUGCAGAAGCCAAACUUGACACUGUUAAUGAAUGCUUCACAGCAGUUCAGGAAAAACAAUGAUGGUGAUGGUUCUAGAACUGAAAGUCCUAAGUCCCCAAAGAAAAGCCUCAAACAAAGAACCCCGUCGGAUGCAAAUCUGAACAAAGGAGAAUGUGAAGAAUUGUUGAAUCAAGAUGUCUCGGAUGCAAGCAACCUAGAGGAAGAAGAAUCAGAGGAGGAGGAUGAGGAGGAUGAAAAUGACAAUGGAGAUGAGGAGGAAGAGGAGGGAGAGGAAGAGGAGGGAGAAGAGGAAGAGGGAGAGGAAGAGGAAGAUGAAGAUCUUACUCAAGAUGAAAAGGAGGAGGAAGAUCUGGAAGAUGAAGAAACUCAGUCUAAUGACAUACUGGAGGAGGAGCAGGGGAAGAAAACAGAACCUAAAGGGGAAAUUAAUCCGAAACUGGAGUAUUUUAGUAACGCUAAGUAUGAAGGGGAAGCUCAGUGUGGAACUGGAGAUGUCUGUGAUGAUGAUAAAAUAAGUAAAGAACUUGAUGAAAAGGUGGCAGAAUCUGUUGAUACUCCUGUGUCUUUUAUAGCUGGGUGUUAUGAAAGGGUGCAAGAAAAUAUAACUGCCAUGUCUCCAAAGAUAAUGAAUAAUGAAGUAUCUUGCAAGUCAGUACCAAAACAAGCUGUCUUUCAAAAUCUAAAUAAUUUGCAAGGUACACAAGAAAGUCGGAACAGGAAAAGCAUGAUUCAGGAGAAGUUUCACAAAAAUGCUGACUCCUGUUUUGCAGACUCUGAAAUGACAGACUGGAAAAAAGAGACACCUCAGCCUUUCACAGAUAGUUGUGGUCUUAAGGAGAAAAAGUCAAGCCUCGGUGAUGGCUUUGGAAGUGGUAACAAUUCUUGGUCAGUUACAAAAAACCCGAUGCUUGAAAGUCAAAGACCAAACUCUAUUGUUCUUGAACGUGUGAGUGAUGAAGAUACUGAAGAAGAGCAAUAUGAAGAAGUAGAUGAUAAAGUCUGUGAAACACCGAAACAAGAAUAUGAAAACUUGCGCUUAAAUAGGCAUGAAGAAAAUUUAAGGACAUCAUCUCGCUCAAGCACCAAAGAAGAAUCACCUGAAUGGGAAGAGGAGGAGCAGGAGAAGGGAGACACUGGUGAAGACCUGCAAACUGCAGUUGUUGAGGGUGUGAGAAAUUCUGUUUGUAAUGACAGCCAUCAGGUCCACAAUGCUUCAAAAGACAAUGCUGGUGCCCUACCAGCAGUGGAAGCAGAGGAAGGGGAUGAUGCUGAAUCUCUCUGGGAUUCUGAGAUUAUACAGACGGAUUCUGAAAGUCUGAGAAAAGUAUCGUCCAGCGUGUUGCUUCCAGCUGCAGACAGAUACGGAGCAUGCUCACAGAUUGUUUCAGGGGAACGUGACAAUGGCUUUUCAGAGAAACCCAGCAAUUCCCAGCUGAAGACUCCUGAAUCUGUUUUGGAAAUGAAUGAAACCUCUCCUAGAAAAAGGCAGCAGAAAUCAGAUCUGUUGGAGGAAUUUGGUUUAGGAGAUGCAGAGGAUAUUGAAGGUGAAUAUUCAGGAUCUACCUUUCAUAUGUCAUCAGCUGAAAAAGAAGACAUCAAGGAUGGCAUUGAAAACUGUGGGGUGCAGGUUGAGAAUGAAAAAGGUAAGCAAAGAUGUUCCGAAACACAGGUGGUGGCAAAACAGGAAGAUCUUGAUAAAUUACACACACCAGCAGGCAACGUUACUGAUCAGCAAAUGAAACAAAAUGUUACCCUAAAGAAGAAUGACCAUUUGAAAGUAGAGAAUGAAAACACUAUAGAAGAAGACAACAAAAAUAAUAUUUUGUCUGAGGAGAGAUCGACAUUGAUUAAAUUGCCAAUGAAAGGGUAAACUAAGGAAAUGAUCUCUAUUUCUUAUUUGUAGUACUACUUAAGUAUCUUUUAGGUUUUCUGAUAUUGUAGUAGUUGCAGUAGUUUCCUAUAUGCUGAGAGCCAUACUGUGAGUAGUCCACUGCUUCUCAAACAUUUUAGAAAAAGAAUUAUUUUUUUUUUUUAAGAAAAAACUAAGCUCAUAAUGGAGGUUAAAAUUUAU